rnacentral:rRNA from 1 species
CCUACGGGGGGCAGCAGUGAGGAAUAUUGGUCAAUGGACGAGAGUCUGAACCAGCCAAGUAGCGUGAAGGAUGACUGCCCUAGGGGUUGUAAACUUCUUUUAUAUGGGAAUAAAAUGUUCCACGUGUGGGAUUUUGUAUGUACCAUAUGAAUAAGGAUCGGCUAACUCCGUGCCAGCAGCCGCGGUAAUACGGAGGAUCCGAGCGUUAUCCGGAUUUAUUGGGUUUAAAGGGAGCGUAGGUGGAUUGUUAAGUCAGUUGUGAAAGUUUGCGGCUCAACCGUAAAAUUGCAGUUGAAACUGGCAGUCUUGAGUACAGUAGAGGUGGGUGGAAUUCGUGGUGUAGCGGUGAAAUGCUUAGAUAUCACGAAGAACUCUGAUUGCGAAGGCAGUUCACUGGACUGCAACUGACACUGAGGCUCGAAAGUGUGGGUAUCAAACAGGAUUAGAUACCCUUGUAGUC